UAGGGAAUCUUCGGCAAUGGGGGCAACCCUGACCGAGCAACGCCGCGUGAGUGAAGAAGGUUUUCGGAUCGUAAAGCUCUGUUGUAAGAGAAGAAUGACAUUGAGAGUAACUGUUCAAUGUGUGACGGUAUCUUACCAGAAAGGAACGGCUAAAUACGUGCCAG
rnacentral:rRNA from 1 species